CCUACGGGAGGCAGCAGUGAGGAAUAUUGGUCAAUGGACGAGAGUCUGAACCAGCCAAGUAGCGUGAAGGAUGACUGCCCUAUGGGUUGUAAACUUCUUUUAUAUGGGAAUAAAAUGUUCAACGUGUGGGAUUUUGUAUGUACCAUAUGAAUAAGGAUCGGCUAACUCCGUGCCAGCAGCCGCGGUAAUACGGAGGAUCCGAGCGUUAUCCGAAUUUAUUGGGUUUAGAGGGAGCGUAGGUGGAUUGUUAAGUCAGUUGUGAAAGUUUGCGGCUCAACCGUAAAAUUGCAGUUGAAACUGGCAGUCUUGAGUACAGUAGAGGUGGGCGGAAUUCGUGGUGUAGCGGUGAAAUGCUUAGAUAUCACGAAGAACUCCGAUUGCGAAGGCAGUUCACUGGACUGCAACUGACACUGAGGCUCGAAAGUGUGGGUAUCAAACAGGAUUAGAUACCCUUGUAGUC
rnacentral:rRNA from 1 species